rnacentral:piRNA from 1 species
UGUUGUGGUGAAUAUGUUCAGCUUGUUGUA